CCAAUAGCGUAUAUUAAAGUUGUUGCAGUUAAAAAGCUCGUAGUUGAAUUUCGGGAUUGGCGCAUCGGUCGUGCCUUACGGGGUAUGAACUGGUGCAGUCAAUUUCUCACCUUCUGGAGAACCGCGAUGUCCUUAAUUGGGUGCCGCGGGGAACCAGGACCUUUACUUUGAAAAAAUAAGAGUGUUUAAAGCAGGCAUUUUUGCUUGAAUACAUUAGCAUGGAAUAAUAAAAUAGGACGGCAUGGUUCUAUUUUGUUGGUUUCUAGGACCACCGUAAUGAUUAAUAGGGAUAGUUGGGGGCAUUAGUAUUCAAUUGUCAGAGGUGAAAUUCUUGGAUUUAUUGAAGACUAACUACUGCGAAAGCAUUUGCCAAGGAUGUUUUCAUUAAUCAAGAACGAAAGUUAGGGGAUCGAAGACGAUCAGAUACCGUCGUAGUCUUAACCAUAAACUAUGCCGACUAGGAAUCAGACGAUGUUAAUUUUUUAAUGACUCGUUUGGCACCUUACG
rnacentral:misc_RNA from 1 species